rnacentral:misc_RNA from 1 species
AUUCGUUCCCUAUGUCAUCUCGAGGGCCUUUAAGAGGCAUUCAAAGAGGAGAAAGCACAGAUUCUUUCAUGGACUAAGCAAAAAGGGGCGCACAACAGAUUGAAUCAGGGAUUAGACUGCUGCUAGCUCGUGCUCGUAAUAGCAAAUGUUGUUGUAAAGUCUAGGAGCCUUUCGCUUUCCCUGAUCAUAUUAUGUUGAAAAUACUCAGCUAACUAUCUUCGAGAUGAGCUUAAUGCAGUGAAAAUGGCCAACAUAUAUUUAUAUAGCCGAUCUCUACUCGUUGGAAUUGAGGUGUAGUAGUUGUCAUUGUUCAACUGUCUAGUAGGAGAACUACCCAAAAAAAGGUUUGGAAGUUCAUCUAACACUUGAACUGGAUAUAUGUACUAAUCAUUAGAUCUAAAUAUACAAUCACAA